CGCUCUAGCGGAGGAAUGAACCAACAGGGAUUGCCCUAGUACGGCGAGUGAAGCGGCACGCUCAAAUCUGAAAGCCGGCCUUCGGGUCCGCGUCGUAAUCUGCAGAGGAAGCUUUGGGCGCGGCGCUGUCUGAGUCCCCUGGAACGGGGCGCCAAAGAGGGUGAGAGCCCCGUAUAGACGGAUGCCUAGCCUGUGUAAAGCUCCUUCGACGAGUCGAGUAGUUUGGGAAUGCUGCUCAAAAUGGGAGGUAAAUUUCUUCUAAAGCUAAAUACCGGCCAGAGACCGAUAGCGCACAAGUAGAGUGAUCGAAAGAUGAAAAGCACUUUGAAAAGAGGGUUAAAUAGCACGUGAAAUUGUUGAAAGGGAAGCGCUUGUGACCAGACUUGCGCCGGGCUGAUCAUCCGGUGUUCUCACCGGUGCACUCUGCCCGGCUCAGGCCAGCAUCGGGUUCUCGCGGGGGGAUAAAGGCUUAGGGAAUGUAGCUCCCUCCGGGAGUGUUAUAGCCCUCUGCGUAAUACCCUCGCGGGGACCGAGGUCUGCGCUCUGCAAGGAUGCUGGCGUAAUGGUCAUCAGCGACCCGCC
rnacentral:rRNA from 1 species